CUGUAAGCCGUUGAAGGUGGCCUGUGAGGGUUGCUGGAGGUAUCAGAAGUGCGAAUGCUGACAUAAGUAACGAUAAAGCGGGUGAAAAGCCCGCUCGCCGGAAGACCAAGGGUUCCUGUCCAACGUUAAUCGGGGCAGGGUGAGUCGACCCCUAAGGCGAGGCCGAAAGGCGUAGUCGAUGGGAAACAGGUUAAUAUUCCUGUACUUGGUGUUACUGCGAAGGGGGGACGGAGAAGGCUAUGUUAGCCGGGCGACGGUUGUCCCGGUUUAAGCAUGUAGGCGGAGGUUCCAGGUAAAUCCG
rnacentral:rRNA from 1 species